GAAGCCACUAACAAAGUCUUAGGCCUGUGGGUAUUUUUCUCUCCCAGCCCUUCUGAGCACGUGGUAUUCCCUUGCUUUGGGACCUGGGCCCUUUGUGGUAGCAGAAUCAGAGCACAGAGGACAAUGCCUGGGGGCUUAUAGUAAGACCCAGAGUGUUGCUGGAGGUCUCAGGUCUAUCCAAAUUGGAGCUAGUAGAGCCUGAAGAAAAGUGGAACCACCCAGCCAAGCCAAGAAGGGUUAGUACUUCUGCUUUGAGAGCAGACCUCACACAAACAGAUGGGAAGCAGAAACGAGGGAAGAGGAUUGAAGAUGAACCCACGUUUUAAAAGUCCUUGUCUGCAGGAGGUGGCAUUACCUGUGACCUCGCUUCACUUCUUCAUACAUGGCUGUUGUAGCAGGGCUCCACCAGAUGGCUGCUCCAACACAACACACAACAAGGUCUAACAUAUGAAGACCCCAUGGAAUUUGGAAAAUGAGAUAGGAUAAAGACCACCACGUGGGCUAUUGCCUAGAUUGACCAAGUCCUUAGAUAUCAAACUGAGAUCAAAGGAACCCAACUUCAUCACACAUCUCUUCUCCGGAUUUCAAUUUUUACUUGAUCAUGUCUUCCCAUAUUAGAUCUUUUCCACUCAGUUUUUUGUCUCCAGCAUUUUCUCAAGCUAUCAUCUUGUUUGGAGGUAUCAUGGAUUCAGGAUCCAUGCCUAAGGAACAAAAGAAAAUGACUAUACCUAAGGACUUGCCACGGAGAAGGCAAUGGCACCCCACUCCAGUACUCUUCCCUGGAAAAUCCCAUGGACGGAGGGGCCUGGUAGGCUGCAGUCCGUGGGGUCUCUAGGAGUCGGACAAGACUGAGCGACUUCACUUUCACUUUUCACUUUCAUGUGUUGGAGAAGGAAAUGGCAACCCACUCCAGUGUUCUUGCCUGGAGAAUCCCAGUGUCGGGGAGCCUGGUGGGCUGCCGUCUAUGGGGUCGCACAGAGUCGGAUAUGACUGAACCGACUUAGCAGCAGCAAGGACUUGCCAAAUCUGGGCAACAGGCCACAUGUUAAUUAUCUUGUCUCACUCAGAAGGUAAAGCAUUGGCCUGCAAUGCAACAGACCCAGGUUUGAUCCAUGGGUCCGGAAGAUCCCCUGGAGAAGGAACUGGCAAAACAUGCUGUAUUCUUCCCUGGGGAAUUCAAUGGAGAGAGGAACCUGGUGGGCUACAGUCCAUGGGAUCCCAAAGAGUGAGGCACAACUGUGUGAAUAACACACACACUUCCCUAAUUUCCUGGGGUCUUCAAAUUCUAGGCUUUGUGUACUGAGUUGAAGAAGCCAUUUGAUGAAGCUCUAGGAGGAUGACCCAGAUGAAGCUCUCACGACUGAAUGCAGACAGUUGCCUACAUGUAAUCAUACACUCUUACAGGACUAUAAAUUCCAAUCAGAUGGGACACGUGACUUUGUCUAAUGGUAUCAUAGAACAUUGGGAAAAAAAAACAGGCAUUUUCUAUGUCAUUAAAUGGCCGUAGACCUUAUUGUAUAUAAUCACUGUUUUUUUACUUAAAGAUCCAUUUUAUAAUAUUUUCUCAUUAGUAAGAAAGAAACAGAGCUUGUUUUUACUUAUGGAUGAAGUCUUUGGCGGCAGCUUGUAUCAUUUAUACAUAUCCACAUUAAUAGGUCUUUCAGAGCGCUUGAAUUUCAUAUAUUUUAUUCUAGAACACAGUUAGGAUAUUAUAAUGUCAAAAAUACAUGUUAGGUCAUUCACAAUGAGAAGAAUUAAC
ensembl:lncRNA